GGGGUGCUCGAGUGGCGAACGGGUGAGUAACACGUGAGUAACCUGCCCUUGACUUUGGGAUAGCUUCAGGAAACUGGGGCUAAUACCGGAUAGGAGCUCCUGCUGCAUGGUGGGGGUUGGAAAGUUUCGGCGGUUGGGGAUGGACUCGCGGCUUAUCAGCUUGUUGGUGGGGUAGUGGCUUACCAAGGCUUUGACGGGUAGCCGGCCUGAGAGGGUGACCGGCCACAUUGGGACUGAGAUACGGCCCAG
rnacentral:rRNA from 1 species